GUGAGGAAUCUUGCGCAAUGGGGGAAACCCUGACGCAGCAACGCCGCGUGAGUGAAGGAGGCCUUCGGGUCGUAAAGCUCUGUCGAGUGGGAAGAACCUAUUUCGUGCUAAUAUCACGAAGUAAUGACGGUACCACCAAAGGAAGCACCGGCUAACUCCGUGCCAGCAGCCGCGGUAAUACGGAGGGUGCAAGCGUUAUUCGGAAUUACUGGGCGUAAAGGGCGCGUAGGCGGCUUUUUAAGUCAGGCGUGAAAUACCGGGGCUAAACUCCGGAAGUGCGUUUGAAACUAGAAAGCUUGAGUACGGGAGAGGGAAGUGGAAUUCCUGGUGUAGAGGUGAAAUUCGUAGAUAUCAGGAGGAACACCGGUGGCGAAAGCGACUUCCUGGACCGAUACUGACGCUGAGGCGCGAAAGCGUGGGUAGCAAACAGGAUUAGAAACCCGGGUAGUCC
rnacentral:rRNA from 1 species